UGCGAAAGUGGCGGAAUUGGCAGACGCGCAGGAUUCAGGAUCCUGUGGGGUAAAACCCGUGGGGGUUCAAGUCCCCCCUUUCGCAU
rnacentral:tRNA from 1 species